UACGGAGGGUGCAAGCGUUAAUCGGAAUUACUGGGCGUAAAGCGCACGUAGGCGGCUUUCUAAGUCGGAGGUGAAAUCCUGGAGCUCAACUCCAGAACUGCCUUCGAUACUGGAGAGCUUGAGUCCGGGAGAGGUGAGUGGAACUGCGAGUGUAGAGGUGAAAUUCGUAGAUAUUCGCAAGAACACCAGUGGCGAAGGCGGCUCACUGGCCCGGUACUGACGCUGAGGUGCGAAAGCGUGGGGAGCAAGCAGG
rnacentral:rRNA from 1 species